rnacentral:rRNA from 1 species
GACGAGUGGCGGACGGGUGAGUAAUGUCUGGGAAACUGCCUGAUGGAGGGGGAUAACUACUGGAAACGGUAGCUAAUACCGCAUAACGUCGCAAGACCAAAGAGGGGGACCUUCGGGCCUCUUGCCAUCGGAUGUGCCCAGAUGGGAUUAGCUAGUAGGUGGGGUAACGGCUCACCUAGGCGACGAUCCCUAGCUGGUCUGAGAGGAUGACCAGCCACACUGGAACUGAGACACGGUCCACAAUUCCUACGGGAGGCAGCAGUGGGGAAUAUUGCACAAUGGGCGCAAGCCUGAUGCAGCCAUGCCGCGUGUAUGAAGAAGGCCUUCGGGUUGUAAAGUACUUUCAGCGGGGAGGAAGGGAGUAAAGUUAAUACCUUUGCUCAUUGACGUUACCCGCAGAAGAAGCACCGGCUAACUCCGUGCCAGCAGCCGCGGUAAUACGGAGGGUGCAAGCGUUAAUCGGAAUUACUGGGCGUAAAGCGCACGCAGGCGGUUUGUUAAGUCAGAUGUGAAAUCCCC